UACGUAGGAGACAAACGUUAUCCGGAGUUACUGGGCGUAAAGGGCGUGUAGGUGGUUUCGUAAGUCUGGCGUGAAAUUUUUCGGCUUAACCGGGAAAGGUCGUCGGAUACUGCGGAGCUAGAGGACGGUAGAGGCGUGUGGAAUUCCGGGUGUAGUGGUGAAAUUCGUAGAGAUCCGGAGGAACACCAGUGGCGAAGGCGACACGCUGGGCCGUACCUGACACUGAUGCGCGACAGCAUGGGGAGCAAACAGG
rnacentral:rRNA from 1 species